rnacentral:lncRNA from 1 species
AAAAAAAAAAAGAGGCAUAAACCAAGAAGGGCUCUUAGCUCAUCUCCAUCUUCCUCCUGUGCUCAUGGCAGACAUUACAAGUCAUUUACAGCACUCUUUCCUGCGCAGCCUCCUGCAGCUUAGCAUCCUUCUCAAGGCAGCAUGAGAGUCAGCCAUCCAAUGCAGCAGAGUUGGCACACUGGGUGAAACAUACUUGCUGCAACUGCUCUAAAGCAACAGCUUCUACUGUCAAGAAGGUACCAGAGAAAUAAGAAACCAAACCACAGGACAGUUGCACGGACUAUUAAAGUCAGAGCGUCACUGUGCAAACCUGCAAAUGGCUUCUGCCAGCUGCCAGUUACUGGUGUCAGUCCCUGUGGCUAUCUUUAAGGCUGGCAGGGGUCUUGGAAACAAGCCUGGCCCUCAUCAGACUGUCCGAUUCCAGUUUUCUUCAUUCCAUCUUUCUGAACGUCACUUAUAUUAUCUUUUCUCAGAGGGUGGAUGCCAUCGAGCAGUAUUUUUCAGAGGUGUGUGGACCACUUGUUCUUCAAGAUAAUCUAGAUAAAGCAGGCCUAUGGUCAAAGUCUGGAGCAGUACAAAACCCAGUCAGAGGAUGUCUCUAUCAUUCCCACGCAGGUAAUUACAGGCUUAAUGAACAAAUGAAAAGGGGAAAGAGGCUAGAGCAUGAAGAGGGGCAAAAAGGAAGGACUGGC